GGUAAGGUGGCUGAGUAAGCGGUGGAUUGUAGCCCCACACACAGGGGUUUUAGUCCCCUUCUUGCCA